AGGAUACAAGGAAAUACUUACAUGUAUACAUACAGUUUAGUUCAGUUAAUUUUUGUUUGAAUUAUUUGUGCCAACUUUAAGCAAAUGAGAAGAAAGAACCGUUGGCAUAACGAUAGAAAAUAUGAGAAAGAGAGAUAGAAGAAAAAAAUUUUCGAAAUAUCUUCGUGGAUAACACAAAUACCAAUAAUUAAUCAUUCGAAUAUUUUUCGAGACUGAAUUCAUGAUGAAUCAUGAAUAGUUUCAAUUGAUCGUUUUUGUAACGCGACGCGAUACGACAAUUCGUUGUUGAAUAUAACCUAAUCAUUCAUAAUGACAAUUCCUGACGGAAAAAAAUGUUUUACGAACAUCGAUCUACCUAAAUAGUCGGAGUGCUUUGAUACUUUUCCUGUGUGGCGCCAUUUUGCAACUCAACGUUCUUGUGGAAUUGCUUUGGAUGCACUGCUUGUGCACAUAAGUAACGAUAGCCGUUGGAAGAAGAUGGUCAUUAUGAAAAACGUAUCAAAUCGAAACGUCAGUAGGAGGAAAUAGAGAAAAUGAAGAAAAAUAAUUGUAUUUGAUAAAAUGAUUUUAUAAAUUCGUAGUUUGAAAGGAUACAACUUAAAUAAAAAACGGAAAAUUGCGUGUAGGUUUGAAAAAUCUGAAACGCGUAUAUUUUCGUUUACAGAUAUUCUCGAAACAGUAAUUAACAGUAAAGAAGUAUAUCGAAUCAG